rnacentral:lncRNA from 1 species
AGAGAGGAAAAGAAUAUCCUUGCUGUGCCAAGAAAGAAAAGACCAUGGAUCUACUAGUUGCAGAUUUCAGCAGUAAUGCCAAGGGGGCAAGAAGUGACCAGCAGAACAAUUAGGCCAUGGCAACAGAAGCCAACUACAACCCAUGUUCCAAUCUAUGACCUCCCUCUCCUGCUGGUACAAGGAUAUGUAUUCCUUAGAGCAAAGGAUGCAAUGUCAAGCAAGUUGUGAUACCUCAACUAUCUACAAUUUAACACCAAGGAAAGAACACUGUUUGGAGAAAUGAGAAAGAUUAUCAUCAGUGUCUUUCAGAAGUCAUCAAAAGAAGAAAAGGAGAAAAGAGAGGAGAAAGCAGAAAGAUCUGGAGUCUGGGAAGUUCAAGAGCAUGGCACCAACAUCUGGCAAGGGCUUUCAUUCUGCAUCAUCUCAUGGAGGAAAAUAAAAAGGAGGCUGGAUGCUCCUGUGAAGUACGUCUUUUAUCUACUUGCUAUCUUUGCAAUUCCUUCAUGCUACAAUGAGAGAUAGAGUUUAAACCUGAAAACAUUCUUGGAAAAGGAAUCUUCAUUAAUUCAAAUAUACCACAAGAUUCACCACCAUCACUACUCUAAGUAUUUUUCUUCUUGAGAAAGAGAAGGAGAGGGAAAGCAAGGAAGAGGAAGAGAAAGAGAAAUGGAUAAAAACAUGGUCAAGUAGAAGAGUCUGUGUGUCUUCCAGAGUCCUCACGAGUAUCAGAGAAGGCAUAAUCUGUACACGUGGCUUCAUUUAAAAUGAAAAUAUCAAGCAGUGUCAUUUUCACAAGUAUCCCCACACUGUCUGAGGCUGAAAAGAAGAGUGUAGCUAUGCACACUGCAGUGAGAAGAAAAUUUCAGCUCAAUUGGAGGAUGUAAAGAUUGAAAUACCACUGCUCCUAGUUCUGAUGCAAAAUUGAAAAGAGUGCACUGGGUCUUCAAAUGGCAUAUUGACAAGGAGAAAGAGGAAAGGAUGCCCCAGGACAGCCUGGGGGUCAAGGCUGGGCUCAGGCAUGCCUGGACAAGCCAUGCAAGUUGUCUCCGGACUUGAACCACGUAUCAGAGGAGCUAUUUGAGGAGCCACAUCAGCAUACCUGCUUCUGUGGGCCCCCAGGCUGUGGUGCUCAGCCCUUGCACUAUGAAACAUUUUUUUUUUCCAGAAGCCAAAGCUUUGAGCAUCUCCUCCCAUGUAGAGAGUGUAUAUGUUUACGUCCAUGUCUUUCGCCAUGUGAACGCAUGCAACCACCACCUCAAAUAUCAUAAAUCCUCUCUCUCCCCCUUUCUGUCUGCCUGUUUAUCUACAAUCUGUCUAUUUAAAUUCUUUUUAAACAAGAAGGGAAUAUCUUUAUGCCUGUUUGUAGGGAUAUUCUACAUCCAUCUGUUAUUUACAUCAUUCGUUUUCCUGAGGUGUCUCCAACAAAUCCUGGCUGGAUGCACUGUAUGUGUUAUUAAUAAAACAGCUGUAAAAAUA